CGCAAACCCCGUUGCCCCCGCUUUACCACGUCCACUUUCUUAGGAGAAGCCGUCGAAUGUAGUCGUGUGACAAAAUCCAGAGUAAUCGAGCGAUUCUAGAGCGAUCUAAAAUUCUUUAAUCCGGAAGAUGAGAGCUAAGUGGCGUAAGAAGAGAAUGCGCAGGCUAAAGCGCAAGAGGAGGAAGAUGCGUGCGAGGUCCAAGUAAACAAUUUCUCCGUAUGUGCACACACUUACACACGCAAGCUUUCUGUGGGAAGAACAGACCUGCGAUAUUUCGCCGUUUCAUCAACAUUUCCAGUUGCACCUUCAGCUGGGAUGAAAAUUCCAAUGAAGAUCUAUUCAAUGGACUUGUUUUUCACACAGAAAGCAUUUUAUACAUGUAAAUCUUGUUUGGUUAAAUGCAGCGACUAUCCAAGAUAAAA